GGCUUACACUAUCUCUGAUGGUCACCCCUUUCGCACCGGUUAGUAGGACACUUUCGUGCACGUUGAGCAGUUAUUCGUUUGAAUGGUGAACGAAUUCUUCUGUUGCUCAAAAGAACAACAAUGUUUUCCUCUUCCAUCCAAUUCUGAUAUCUCGUCUUCCUGCCGUACAUCGGCCGUUCAUCUCGCCGUUUUCUAAAAUUGCGGCCCCUGCUGAUUUAGAAUUACCGAUCUCAGUUGUAUUCAACAACGCAAUGGAGUCCGUUACAAUUUUGUCGGUCAAUGGUAAGCGCGCCAGCUCAUCUAGCAGUAGCAGUUCCAGUUCCAGUUCCAGUGAAUCGGGUGCGCCAAAGCUGGAUGUCAGCCAAAUGGAUGACCGCGGCAGAAACAAUUCUGCGUUUCGUAACGAUGAGGACGACAUUCCCCCAAACCAGACCUAUUAUGCAGAUGAACUGAUCGACGUACCCGAUUUGGGAAAAAAAUCGUUUAGCUUCCGCACCCUUUGGGCUUUCACCGGCCCGGGCUUUCUGAUGAGUAUUGCUUAUUUAGAUCCAGGCAACAUUGAAUCCGAUUUACAGUCGGGAGUGGUGGCUGGCUACAAGUUAUUGUGGGUGCUUAUGACGGCAACAAUCAUGGGACUGUUGGUUCAGCGUUUGGCUAUCCGAUUGGGGAUGGUUACGGGCCUGCAUUUGGCAGAGAUGUGCUACAAACAAUAUCCGAAAGUGCCCCGCCUUAUAUUGUGGAUUAUGGCCGAGAUUGCCAUUAUUGGAUCUGAUAUUCAGGAAGUCAUCGGCACAUCACUGGCCAUUUACAUUCUCUCGGAUCAAGCAGUUCCCAUCUGGGGAGGUGUCCUCAUUACAGUUUUCGACACGUUUACAUUCUUGCUACUUGACAAAUAUGGUUUACGCAAGUUGGAGCUUUUCUUCGGCUUCCUCAUUACUGUCAUGGCCAUCACUUUUGGAUACGAAUACGUUCACGACCCGCCACCGCAAAUCGAAGUCAUCAAAGGCCUCUUCAUUCCAGGCUGCGCCGGUUGCGGUCCUGAAGGUGUUCUCCGAGCUGUGGGGAUUGUCGGUGCUGUCAUCAUGCCUCACAAUCUCUUUCUCCAUUCGGCUCUAGUCAAAUCGCGUAAAGUUGAUCGCAAAGACAAGCAUUCAGUGCAGCAAGCGAACAUGUAUUUCUUCGUCGAGUCGUGCAUAGCUUUGCUGAUUUCGUUCAUUAUUAACAUUUUCGUCGUCUGCGUUUUUGCCUACGGACUCUUUGGCAAAACCAAUCAAGAUGUGCAAGACUUGUGUGCGAAUAGUACGUCAUCGUCCUCAGAACAAGAAAUCGAGGAAUUCUUCCCGGCCAACAAUGAAACUGUUGAUGCCGACAUUUACCGCGCUGGACUGUUCUUGGGCUGCCAAUACGGAGACGCAGCCAGGUACAUUUGGGCUGUCGGAAUUCUUGCGGCAGGUCAGUCUUCUACGAUGACGGGAACGUACAGUGGCCAGUUUGUUAUGGAGGGGUUCUUGAAUUUGCACUGGGCUCGCUGGAAGAGAGUAUUGCUUACGCGUACGAUCGCCAUCGCACCAACUCUUUUCUUGGCCAUCUUCGCUGACAUUCAACAGUUGACUGGACUGAAUGACUAUCUCAACGCUGUCAUGAGUUUGCAGUUGCCUUUCGCCCUGAUUCCCACGUUGACGUUUACCAGUUCGCCGAAAAUUAUGGGCGACUUUGUUAACGGGCUGUUCAACAAGAUUCUCCUCGCCAUUUUGGCGGUGGUCGUCGUAGGCAUCAAUCUCUUUUUCGUGGUUGUAACCAUUGAUGAAAACCUGCCUCACCACUGGGCGAUAUACACUGCAUUUGGAAUUUUCGGCGUUCUCUACAUGACCCUGGUCGGGUAUUUAGUUCUUCAUUUAAUCGACGCCUUUGGUGGACGUUGCUGCUCUCGACUACCGUAUGAGAGAUUGACAGUUCACAAAGGAGAUGGUGACGAAACAGCACCGUUUGCGUUCGCUGUUGAUCAGUACUCGGGGAAUCGAGUCAAUUAAAAUGCUUGGAGGGUAUAACUGGACUGGUCGACCAAAACCAAUAUCAUCUAACGACAAACGAAUUGACAGAAGCUUCUUCUUUAGCUAGCAUCCACUCCAUGGGAACUAGAUUAUCAAUUGAUAAGAACGGACUGAAACAUAAUGGUGAUGACGC
rnacentral:misc_RNA from 1 species